CCUCCGAGGGUCAGGGUCGAGGUUACCCGCUGGAGGGCGGGGCGGAGAAGAAAGAAGGUUGCUGGUGAACGGGACAGAUAGGCUGGGGACGCCCGGGGAGCGGCAGAGAGUCUCGGCGCGGGAGACGGAGUCCCGGCAAGGGGUCCCGCGCGGAGGCGGGGGCGGGCGCUGAAGGGCGGGGCGGGGAGGGGCGGCCGUCUCGGCCCUCCCUGGCGGGGCCCCGCGGCCUGGAAGCCGGAGCGGGCCGAGCCGCCACCGCGGCCGGAGCUGUCCCUUGGCCAGACCCGGCGAGACACGAGCGGCGGGAGGGAGGCGGUGGCGCGCCCGGCCCCGCCCGCCCGACCAAGCUUCGGACGCGGCCCGGCGCCGAGCCAUGGAGCCUGAGCCAGUGGAGGACUGUGUGCAGAGCACUCUCGCCGCCCUGUAUCCACCCUUUGAGGCAACAGCCCCCACCCUGUUGGGCCAGGUGUUCCAGGUGGUGGAGAGGACUUAUCGGGAGGACGCACUGAGGUACACGCUGGACUUCCUGGUACCAGCUAAGCACCUGCUUGCCAAGGUCCAGCAGGAAGCCUGUGCCCAAUACAGUGGAUUCCUCUUCUUCCAUGAGGGGUGGCCGCUCUGCCUGCAUGAACAGGUGGUGGUGCAGCUAGCAGCCCUACCCUGGCAACUGCUGCGCCCAGGAGACUUCUAUCUGCAGGUGGUGCCCUCAGCUGCCCAAGCACCACGACUAGCACUCAAGUGUCUGGCCCCUGGGGGUGGGCGGGUGCAGGAGAUUCCUGUGCCCAGUGAGGCUUGUGCCUACCUAUUCACACCUGAGUGGCUACAAGGCAUCAACAAGGACCGGCCAACAGGUCGCCUAAGUACCUGCCUAGUGUCUGCACCCUCUGGGAUUCAGCGGCUGCCCUGGGCUGAGCUCAUCUGUCCACGAUUUGUGCACAAAGAGGGCCUCAUGGUUGGACAUCAGCCAAGUACGCUGCCCCCAGAACUGCCCUCUGGACCUCCAGGGCUUCCCAGCCCUCCACUUCCUGAGGAGGCACUGGGUACCCGGAGUCCUGGGGAUGGGCACAAUGCCCCUGUGGAAGGACCUGAGGGUGAGUAUGUGGAGCUGUUGGAGGUGACGCUGCCCGUGAGGGGGAGCCCAGCAGAUGCUGAAGGCUCCCCGGGCCUCUCCAGAGUCCGGACGGUACCCACCCGCAAGGGCGCUGGAGGGAAGGGUCGCCACCGGAGACACCGGGCAUGGAUGCACCAGAAGGGCCUGGGGCCUCGGGACCAGGAUGGAGCACGCCCACCCGGUGAGGGGAGCAGCACCGGAGCCUCCCCUGAGUCUCCCCCAGGAGCUGAGGCUGUCCCAGAGGCAGCAGUCUUGGAGGUGUCUGAGCCCCCAGCAGAGACCGUGGGAGAAGCCUCCGAAUCUUGCCCCCUGAGGCCAGGGGAGCUUAGAGGAGGAGGAGGCGGCCAGGGGGCUGAAGGACCACCUGGUACGCCUCGGAGAACAGGCAAAGGAAACAGAAGAAAGAAGCGAGCUGCAGGUCGAGGGGCUUUUAGCCGAGGAGGGGACAGUGCCCCACUGAGCCCUGGGGACAAGGAAGAGGCCAGCCACCAAGAAGCCUUUGGCAAUCUGCCCUCACCAACUGAGCACACGCUUCCAGAAUGCAGCCUGGUUAAGGAGGAAUAUGAAGGCUCAGGGAAGCCAGAAUCUGAGCCAAAAGAGCUCAAAACAGCAGGCAAAAAGGAGCCUCAGCCCUCUGAAGCCUGUGGGCCUGCAGAAGAGGGGGCCAGAGAGAGAGAGCUGGAGGAGCCAGACCUGGUGUGCCUGGCAGUACACGCAGGCCCAGAAGGCCUCCUGUCUGACACUCCAACACCUCCGCUGGAGACUGUGCAGGAAGGAAAAGGGGACAACAUUCCAGAAGAGGCCCUUCCAGUCUCCGUCUCUGAUCACCCUGAUGUAGCUUGGGACUUGAUGGCAUCUGGAUUCCUCAUCCUGACGGGAGGGGUGGACCAGAGUGGGCGAGCUCUGCUGACCAUUACCCCACCGUGCCCUCCUGAGGAGCCCCCACCCUCCCGAGACACGCUGAACACAACUCUUCAUUACCUCCACUCACUGCUCAGGCCUGAUCUACAGAUAUUGGGGCUGUCCGUCCUGCUGGACCUUCGUCAGGCACCUCCACUGCCUCCAGCACUCAUUCCUGUCUUGAGCCAACUUCAGGACUCAGGAGAUCCUCCCCUUGUUCAGCGGCUGCUGAUUCUCAUUCAUGAUGACCUUCCAACUGAACUCUGUGGAUUUCAGGGUGCUGAGGUGCUGUCAGAGAAUGAUCUGAAAAGAGUGGCCAAGCCAGAGGAGCUGCAGUGGGAGUUAGGAGGUCACAGGGACCCCUCUCCCAGUCACUGGGUAGAGAUACACCAGGAAGUGGUAAGGCUAUGUCGCCUGUGCCAAGGUGUGCUGGGCUCCGUACGGCAGGCCAUUGAGGAGCUAGAGGGAGCAGCAGAGCCAGAGGAAGAGGAGGCAGUGGGAAUGCCCAAGCCACUGCAGAAGGUGCUGGCAGAUCCCCGGCUGACGGCACUGCAGAGGGAUGGGGGGGCCAUCCUGAUGAGGCUGCGCUCCACUCACAGCAGCAAGCUGGAGGGCCAAGGCCCAGCUACACUGUAUCAGGAAGUGGACGAGGCCAUUCACCAGCUUGUGCGCCUCUCCAACCUGCACGUGCAGCAGCAAGAGCAGCGGCAGUGCCUGCGGCGACUCCAGCAGGUGUUGCAGUGGCUCUCGGGCCCAGGGGAGGAGCAGCUGGCAAGCUUUGCUAUGCCUGGGGACACCCUGUCUGCCCUGCAGGAGACAGAGCUGCGAUUCCGGGCUUUCAGCGCUGAGGUCCAGGAGCGCCUGGCCCAGGCACGGGGGGCCCUGGCUCUGGAGGAGAAUGCCACCUCCCAGAAGGUGCUGGAUAUCUUUGAACAGCGGCUGGAGCAGGUUGAGAGUGGCCUCCAUCGGGCCCUGCGGCUACAGCGCUUCUUCCAGCAGGCACAUGAAUGGGUGGAUGAGGGCUUUGCUCGUCUGGCAGGAGCUGGGCCGGGUCGGGAGGCUGUGCUGGCUGCACUGGCCCUGCGGCGGGCCCCAGAGCCCAGUGCUGGCACCUUCCAGGAGAUGCGGGCCCUGGCCCUGGACCUAGGCAGCCCAGCAGCCCUGCGAGAAUGGGGCCACUGCCGGGCCCGCUGCCAAGAGCUGGAGAGGAGGAUUCAGCAACAGCUGGGAGAGGAGGCGAGCCCACGGGGCUACCGACGACGGCGGGCAGACAGUGCCAGCAGUGGAGGGGCCCAGUGGGGACCCCACAGCCCCUCGCCCAGCCUCAGCUCCUUGCUGCUCCCCAGCAGCCCUGGGCCACGGCCAGCCCCAUCCCAUUGCUCCCUGGCCCCAUGUGGAGAGGACUAUGAGGAAGAGGGCCCUGAGCUGGCUCCAGAAGCAGAGGGCAGGCCCCCAAGAGCUGUGCUGAUCCGAGGCCUGGAGGUCACCAGCACUGAGGUGGUAGACAGGACAUGCUCACCACGGGAACACGUGCUGCUGGGCCGGGCUGGGGGGCCAGACGGACCCUGGGGAGUAGGCACCCCCCGGAUGGAGCGCAAACGAAGCAUCAGUGCCCAGCAGCGUCUGGUGUCUGAGCUGAUUGCCUGUGAACAAGAUUACGUGGCCACCUUGAGUGAGCCAGUGCCACCCCCUGGGCCUGAGCUGACUCCUGAACUUCGGGGCACCUGGGCUGCUGCCCUGAGUGCCCGGGAAAGACUUCGCAGCUUCCACCGGACACACUUUCUGCGGGAGCUUCAGGGCUGCGCCACCCACCCCCUACGCAUUGGGGCCUGCUUCCUUCGCCACGGGGACCAGUUCAGCCUUUAUGCACAGUACGUGAAGCACCGACACAAACUGGAGAAUGGUCUGGCUGCGCUCAGUCCCUCAAGCAAGGGCUCCAUGGAGGCUGGCCCUUACCUGCCCCGAGCCCUGCAGCAGCCUCUGGAACAGCUGGCUCGGUAUGGGCGGCUCCUGGAGGAGCUCCUGAGGGAAGCUGGGCCUGAGCUCAGUUCUGAGCGCCAGGCCCUUGGGGCUGCUGUACAGCUUCUCCGGGAACAAGAGGCCCGUGGCAGAGACCUGCUGGCCGUGGAGGCGGUGCGUGGCUGUGAGAUAGAUCUGAAGGAGCAGGGACAGCUCUUGCAUCGAGACCCCUUCACUGUCAUCUGUGGCCGAAAGAAGUGCCUUCGCCAUGUCUUUCUCUUUGAGCAUCUCCUCCUGUUCAGCAAGCUCAAGGGCCCUGAAGGGGGUUCAGAAAUGUUUGUUUACAAGCAGGCCUUUAAGACUGCUGACAUGGGGCUGACAGAAAACAUCGGGGACAGCGGACUCUGCUUUGAGUUGUGGUUUCGGCGGCGGCGUGCACGAGAGGCAUACACUCUGCAGGCAACCUCACCAGAGAUCAAACUCAAGUGGACAAGUUCUAUUGCCCAGCUGCUGUGGAGACAGGCAGCCCACAACAAGGAGCUCCGAGUGCAGCAGAUGGUGUCCAUGGGCAUUGGGAAUAAACCCUUCCUGGACAUCAAAGCCCUUGGGGAGCGGACGCUGAGUGCCCUGCUCACUGGAAGAGCCGCCCGCACCCGGGCCUCCGUGGCCGUGUCAUCCUUUGAGCAUGCCGGCCCCUCCCUUCCCGGCCUUUCGCCGGGAGCCUGCUCCCUGCCUGCCCGCGUCGAGGAGGAGGCCUGGGAUCUGGACGUCAAGCAAAUUUCCCUGGCUCUCCUUGGGUUUCUAUGGAAACUGCCUCAGCUUCCUGUUGUACCCUCCUGGUUCACCACGGCAAUCCUUAUAGUUUCCUGUCGCUUCUUCCCUGGUUGCUCUAAUGAUGCUGCUGACAAUUUCCUGCCUCUUGGUAGGGGGUUCCCUUGCAACUGGAUCGCUAUGGUGACUCACAGCUUCCUGUUGCUAUGGAGCUUUUUCUUCCCUGAUGGAGCAGCUUGGUUGCUUAAGGUAAUCUGGAGGGAUUCUAUACUCUGCUCUCACCCUAGCUUCCCCUUUAGCCCCAGAAACACUUGACUCUUCUGGAGAUGUGUCCCCAGGACCAAGAAACAGCCCCAGCCUGCAACCCCCCAACCCUGGGAGCAGCACUCCCACCCUGGCCAGUCGAGGGAUCUUAGGGCUAUCCCGACAGAGUCAUGCUCGAGCCCUGAGUGACCCCACCACGCCUCUGUGACCUGGAGAAGAUCCAGAACUUGCGUGCAGCUUCUCCUCUCAGCACACUUUGGGCUGGGAUGGCAGUGGGGCAUAAUGAAGCACUGGGCGAUCACUGAAUUUCCUCCCUCUGCUUCCUGGACACAGAGGAGGUCUAACGACCAGAGUAUUGCCCUGCCACCACUAUCUCUAGUCUCCCUAGCUUGGUGCCUUCUCCUGCAGGAGCCAGAGCAGCCACAUUGCUUGCCUUCAUACCCUGGAGGUGGGGAAGUUAUCCCUCUUCCGGUGCUUUCCCAUCCUGGGCCACUGUAUCCAGGACAUCACUCCCAUGCCAGCCCUCCCUGGCAGCCCAUGUUCUCCUCUUUUCUCACCCCCUCACUUUCCCUGAGAAGAAUCAUCUCUGCCAGGUCAACUGGAGUUCCUGGUGACUCCAUUCUGAGGUGUCACAAGAAACGAAGCUAUGCAAACAAUAACAGGAGGGUGCGACAGGGGAACUGUAGACUUUAUAUAUGUAAUUACUGUUAUUAUAAUACUAUUGUUAUAUUAAAUGUAUUUACUCACACUUUGCCUCCAAGGAGCUACAGUAGUCCUCUGGAUUAAGGUGAUAAAUAACUUGAGCACUUUCCCUCAACCAGCCCUUAACUAGAACACAGAAAAUAAAACCAAGACUGGAAGGUCCCCUCUACCCCUCCCAGGCCCAGAGCUGACUGUGUAUGAGCCUGGGAGAAUGUGUCUCCUCCACAGUGGCUCCCAGAGGUUCCACACACUCUCUGAAGCUCAUUCUCCCACACUGCACCUACCCCUUGAGGCUGAACUGGUCACAGACAAACUGGGAUCCAGCACAGUCCAGCAGUUCUCAAAAUGAGGUCCUCAGGCCACAGUGCGUGAGAACUUGCUUGGCUAUUUGUUAAAUGCUAAUUCCUGGGCCCCAUCAGAGCUGCUGCAUCGAAACCUGGGGGUAAAACCCAAUAUUCUGCAUUUCUUAUCAAACUCUUUGGGUGAUAACUAAGUGUCUGAAGAGGUGACUAUUUCCUGACAGAAGGACCCAAAGAGGGAAGCAGGACAUAGGUAGGCAGACAGACACAGGGCCCUGUGCCUCAAGACACCUGUUUAUUGGGGACACGACUCUGCAAUAGGGAUGACAGGAAUCGUACCAAAAAUAGCGACGUCUACAGGGCCCCUGAUGGGGCUAGAAGGGUACAGUGCCCCCCACCCUCACCCCUUGUACAAAAAUAAACUCUCACGCCUAUGGACCAGCAAA